AGACCACACUCGGCCAUGAAAGUCUUUGAAGGUGGGGAAGGGGUGAAGAUGGUGAGGGGAUUCCACGGCUGGGAGAGGUACACUCCCUACACGUUCUAACCAACUGGCCGUGGGGAGGAAGCUGGAGGUCAGGACACAGGUAGGGCCUGGGUUUUUGCCUCAUGUGACUGGGUGGAUGGUCACAAUUCGGCCAUGCUGUCUUUGAACUCAACACCACCAAAAUCAUAGGAUAUUCCUAGUAAUGUUGAUUUCCACUAGAUUACUUUUGUUACCAGAGUUUUAAGGGCAGAAGUCUUUGUCCCUUUUUUUCUCUAACAGGAAGCCAUUCUGGGCCAUUUAUUUGCCGUUAACUUACACAGCCCACUGGAGAGUGGAGGGGUGUGAAUGUGGGAGCCUGGGUGAGGGCUGCACCGGACUGUCACCAGGACAGUCCUCAAUGCUGCCUGACUUAGCCACAUUGCCAAAAACAUACACCCAUAGGUUAUGAAAUAUUCAAUACUGUAUUGUAUGGGAGAAAUACAAAGAGGAGAAAGAACUGGGUUGAAAAGGUGGUCUGGUCAGGUAUCUCAACCCACUGGCUUAUAGACCAGGAACCACUCUAGACAAUGCAUGUAAGGAACAGAAAUGGGAAACAAAAACAUUUAAAUUGUAUUUUUCUCUGAUUGCAAUAAACUUGGAGGAAAGCUAUUUUCUUACUUUGAGCUUUUCUUCCAAUUAUGAUGAAUGCAGAGAUUAAUUACAAAGGACCCGGAUAAACUAAAACUCAUCUACAGCAUUUUUUUUUUUUUUGAGAUGGAAUCUCGCUCUGUUGCCCCGGCUGGAGUGCAGUGGCGCGAUCUCGGCUCACUGCAAGCUCCGCCUCCCGGGUUCACGCCAUUCUCCUGCCUCAGCCUCCUGAGUAGCUGGGACAACAGGCACCUGCCACCACGCCCAGCUAAUCUUUUUUGUAUUUUUAGUAGAGACGGGGUUUCACCUUGUUAGCCAGGAUGGUCUCCAUCUCCUGACCUCGUGAUCUGCCUGCCUUGACCUCCCAAAGUGCUGGGAUUACAGGCGUGAGCCACCGCGCCCGGCCUCUACAGCAUAUUUUAAAAGGCAAAAAGCAAAUGGGGGAUCUCAGAAGUCUUAAUGAAGUAACUAUCCCUGAACACUGGGAUCAAUACUCAGCAUCCAGCUGUCAAAUCAACACCAAGCGUUUCACUCGUCGCCCAGCCUAGAGUGCAAUGGCGCUAUUUCGGCUCAUUAUAACCUCCGCCUCCCGGGUUCAAGCAAUUCUUCUGCUUCAGCGUCCCAAGUAGCUGGGAUUACAGCCGCCUCCUGGAGCAGAUUGUUAAGCUGAUGCGAGUCUGGGCUCUGCCUCACCACUUGUCUCAGAGACAGAGUCUUGCUCUGUCACCUAGGCUGGAGUGCAGUGGUGCCAUCACAGCUCACUGCAGCCUCGACCUCCCCGUGCUCAAGUGAUCCUCACACCUCAGCCUCCCGAGUAGCCGCGAUCACAAGUUAAACAAACACAGUUCUUUACAUCAAUGCUUCCGUCCCUGGCCAUCUGGUCUCCUGUCCCCUCCAGACCCAAAACCAUGGGCUGGGCUGCAGCAAAAUGAGGGUGUACUCAGUGCACUGAGGCCCAUGUACCAUGAGAGAUGGAGAAAGCCUUGGCCGGAGUUUAAGGAUUUGGGGCUGGGCACAGUGGCUCGUGCCUGUAAUCCUAGCACUUUGGGAGGCCAAGGCAGGAGGAUCACUUGAGGCCAAGAGUUUGAGACCAGCCUGAGCAACAUAGUGAGACUCUCAUUUCUAAAAAUAAAAAAGUUAGGCCUGGCACAGUGGCUCAUGCCUAUAAUCCCAGCAGUUUGGGAAGCUGAAUCAAGAGGAUCACUUGAGGCCAGGAGUUUGAGCCCAGCCUGGUCAACAUAGUGAGACUUUAUCACUACAAAAAGUUUUUAUUUAUUUAUUUUUUUUGAGACAGGGUCUCGAUUCAUCACUUAGGCUGGAGUGGAGUGUGCAAUCACAGCUCACAGCUCACAGCAGCCUCGACCUCCUGGGUUCAAGCCAUCCUCCCACCUCAGCCUCCUGAGUAGCUGGGACUACAGGCAUACACCACCAUGUCUGGCUAAAUUUUUGUACUUUUUGUAGAGACAGGGUUUCGCCAUGUUGCCCAGGCUGGUCUCUAGCUCCUGGGCUCAAGCAAUCUGCCUGCCUCAGCCUCCCAGAGGCCUGGAACUACAGGCGUGAGCCGCUGCUCUUGGCCAUUUUUAAUUUAAGAGACAGAGUCUCGCUUUGUUACCCAGGCUGGAGUGCAGUACCCUUACUGCAGCCUUGAACUACUGGGCUCAAGCCAUCCUCCCACCUCAGCCUCUCAAGUAGCUGGGACUACAGGUGUGUGUCCCCAUGCCCAGCUGACUGAGCUACCACCAUGCCACUGCAUGCCAGUUGUGACAAAGUGAGACCCUGUCUCUAAAAA
rnacentral:lncRNA from 1 species